rfam:Epilithonimonas sp. FH1 contig02, whole genome shotgun sequence.
CUGCAGCCCGACUUGAACGGAAAUCCUUUUUUGCGUCAUCUCAAGUUCUAUUUAAAAUGAAAUCGUCUGCAAAAAAGAUUGGGAGUGGAAGGCGGAUAAAGC